rnacentral:lncRNA from 1 species
CUACGAUCCGUUUUGCUCUCCUCUCUGAUGUCCUGAGUUGCUGAUACAAAGACGACUCUCUGUAACGUUGUUAAGAAAUACCAUCUGUUAAGUAUAUUAUUGUUUGCUAUUGAAGUAGAAUAAAUGUAUAUUUGUUAUAAAGAACAUCAGAUUGCGUAUUAGUACUUUUCAUUAAUAUAGACAUAUAUUAAUGUGGCGAGCAUUAUAUUUGGCACAAGAAGAAAUAUAUAUAUAUAUAUAUAUAUAUAUAUAUAUAUAUAUAUAUAUAUAUAUAUGACUUAUUCAACUAAAUAAACACACAGACAGUUAUUACGGUUUUGGACAAAAUAAUUGUUUUGCAGAAUGUUAAACCAAAAGCUUGCCUCUUUAGACACUCCUCCCCCUCACUCCAGGAAAGAAACUUCCUUAUAAAAUAUAUGUUCUCAGCUCAGUCACUGACAGCACUGAAUGAUCCAGACUACAAAGUAACCUGCAUUAAAAUGAGAGGACAUCUAUAGACAUGCACAAUCAUCACUACCUAUUUGUAAUAUAGUCAAUGCCUACAGCCAGGUUGUAAAUUUAAAGCAGCUCACUCAGUGUUGGGGCUGAGACUGUGUGCAUACCUUUGAUUAGGAAGUUUGUCUGGCAUGAGGGGAGUUAUUUAAUGAGGCAGGGUUAUGGUGCAGAAUAUUGCACUAUUUUUGAGCAAAAACUGUGAAAAUAUGCAAAAACAAAACUAAGUUAGACCAAAAUCUAUCAAAUGCAUUAAAGUUGCAUUGCUGCCUGGAUUACUCAAUAUACUACCCAUUGCAUUCUUAUAUGUUAUGUACAAUGUAUAGUGCACUAUUCUUCAAAGUAAAAUGUCUCUUCCUUAAAGAUAUUAGGAUGGAAAGGUGCUCAGAACUAAAAAAAUUAAAGGGAGAAUAAUGUUUAGAUGUGGUGAUUGUGGAAGCCAUGUAAUAAGUUUGACUUCAUCCUUUAGGCAAGAAAACCACUGAAGUUUGUUUAUUAUCGUUGUUAUUUGAAAUAACACGUGGGAUCACUAUAGGAAGAACCUAGCCUCACAUUCUCUGACCAUAAAAAACAUGCCGAAACUUUUUCAGACCUAAAUGACCCCAAAAAGACAUGAAGGUAAGGGUAAAAUGAGAAUUAGGCAAUUUAUUGAAAUUAAUAUAUAGUAAUAAUAUAUGGUAUUAAUAUAUAGUAAUAAUACAUGUUUCACCCAUAACCAGGCAGUGUAUCUGAAAUACCAGUAACUUCUAAACAAGUCAAAAAUAGUGAAAAAAGACAUCUGUAUUCGUUAUAUUAUCAGAAAACCAUAAACGUUAAAAAAGCAUAAUACAAAUUUACACAAUUUCAAACUCAAUGAAAUGUUUGUGACAUGAAGGACAAAAAAAGACACCAGCAAUAAUAGUGCAAUAUGUCUUCAUAUUGUAUAAUUCCAGACUCACAUGUGACAGAGCCUUGUUUCAUGGCGUUGGCUAUAUGUCAAUUCUGUAGAGUCACUUUUUCAGUAUAUAUUAGCGUAAUAUUGCUAUGAGAACCAGGAAGUGUAAACUAUGUUGAUUAAACAAAUGGUCACAUUACGGAGCUCUUGGAACUGGCACCAAGAUGUCCCAAUUGACACAUAACAAAAAUGAUCUGUGAACUUUUUUUAAUUGUAGCAAACUGAUUCUGAAAAUAUGGUUAAGAGUUAUUUUUUCCGCUGCAGAAAGGUAGUUGUAAAGAGCACUAACAGUGACAUUUGUGUUAAGUAGAGAGGUCAAGGUUGGUUAGAUAAACAUAACAUUGAGCAGAUGCAUAGGUCAGUAAUAUUCUCUAAUACUUUAAUGUAAAAACAUGUAGUACUAUUAUUAUUUUCCCAAAUUUUUCACUUCUUUGACAUAUUUUUAUUUGUAGCUAUAAGUGUAUAACUUUGUAUGACAUUUUUUAAGAUCCACGUUUUUUUUUUGUAAUGUAGCUAUUGUCCUUUGAUUAAGGAGAAUUGUUGUUUGAGCUUAAGUGUUUCAAAUUGCAGUUCUAAUUACAAUCAGACAUUCUCCAGAAUUCUCCAAUAUUAAUCCUUCAAAUUAUAAAACAAGCGUGAAGCGUCUUUUUAAAAUGUAUUUUUAAUUUAAAGAGGUACUGUCACUUCUCCUGAAAUUACCAAAUGAAUAAAUCAUUGAAAAUCCCUUUAAACUUUAAAAGGACACAGUAGGCAUUGUAACUGCUUUAUCUCAUUGAAGUGAUUAGGAUUUCAAAAUUCCCCUGGCGCUGUCCUACAAGUCAGUGUUAAACAAGUUUAAUACUAAACUAGAGUCCCUAACAGCCUAUCCCCUAUGCUCUGUUUGGAAUAAAGAAGAAGCAUUAGCCUGUGCAGCAAUGGGUGGCUGUGAUAGGCUUAGAGUGUCAGCUGACUGAUUUCAGCCCAUCAUUGCUUUCAUUGCUGGAACGAUUUCAUAUUUCUAACAGAAAAUGUGGAAUCUUUGUCUUAGCCAGACCAGUGUUAAACUGCUUAAAAAUGAUUGACGCUGAAUAGAACAACAGGGCCAGAGGACUCCAGGUACUAUAACCAAUUCAAUAAGAUGAAAUUGUUAUUGUGCCUAAAGUGUCCCUUUAAUUGUUAACCUUUUUAUUUACGUGAAGCUCCUUUCUUAAUGUUCAUUAAAAAUGUAGCCAAUUAUAUCACAACCCAGGUAAUUUCAGGCACAGCCAAGGCAAACGGUACAACUUAAGAAGAUGUAUAGACUAUUGUUUUAUUAUCCUCUUCUCUGCAUGUUCUCUCUGUGCUGCUUGUCAGUUGCAAAGGACAGAGCUUAUAAUAGUGGUUAACAGGGAGCUAAAAUUGAUGUUCCCUAGGGCAGGAUAAAGAUGUGUGUAUUUCUAUAUUUAAUUUAGUUUUUCACACCUAACAAAUACAUAUUUAUUAAAUGUAAGGUGGUAUGCAAACUUACCAUAAAAACUUCUGGGAAGUGUCAGGUUCACUUUUAGUUUUACAAAAUAGCUUCCACCAAAUCACCCGUGGAAUAAAAAGUUAAACUUAACUUUGGAUACUUGCUUCCCUUCAGUUACCUCCCAAAAUGAUAACUAUAUAAAAAGUAUAAUAUGGUACAUAUGGAAUAGGGAUCCAGCUUGUAUCACUAAAACAUAAAUAAAAAAUACAACAUAGCGUAAUACUGUUGUGGUCUUAUUAAUUGCCCUCAGGUGCUGUAACGGGAAGUAUAAAAUGAACAUCACCCAUCAUAUAGAUCGAAUUAGUUUUAUAAUAACUAAAUUGGACCAUUGUUUGUUGGUGAAUAAAAUGGGAAUAAAGUUUAUAUGUUUAAUUGUAAAAUGAAUUGUUAAUUCAACUCUGGCAUUUUUUUUUCUUUUUUGCAUAUAAUGAAAUCAUUGAUAAAUAUGCACAAAGUGUAUUACUUUCUGGCGACCACCAGAUGGCAACAUAACAAGUUCUAAGUGGAACAAAAUGGAAUGCAUGGCCAUUUAAAAAAAAAAAAAAGAAACGGAAGUGCAUCAUAAAAAGAAGACACUGACCCAUACAGGAAGUGUGUCAUCGGAAAUGGACACUUAAAAUGCAGUGAAAAAAACGGAAUGAAAAUCAGAACAGCUGAAACAACAGAUGGAGGUAAUUUACCAAUGGAUGAGAUGUCCAAUAGAAGAGGAAAAGGAGAGUACGCCCAUCGCACCACCAAUGGACUUCCAGCACUUAUUGUAUUUAAGGGAAGGGAAGGGAAGGGAGGGAAGCAAUAGGCUUAUGGAUACACUUGUUAGUAUUUGGAGUGUAUAAACUGUAUGUUUUUUAAAUUUUGGUUCCUGAAGAAGUUUCCUAAGGGGAACGAAACGCGUAG